AGUGAACGCUGGCGGCGUGCCUAAUACAUGCAAGUCGAACGCAGUGGGGACGGGUGAGUAACACGUGGGUAACCUCCCAUCAGAGGGCGGAACACUUGGAAACAGGUGCUAAACCGAUACUGAUGGAUGGACCCGCGGUGCAUUCGCUAGUUGGUGGUGUAACGGCCCACCAAGGCCACGAUGCAUCGCCGACCUGAGAGGGUGAUCGGCCACACUGGGACUGAGACACGGCCCAGACUCCUACGGGAGGCAGCAGUAGGGAAUCUUCGGCAAUGGACGAAAGUCUGACCGAGCAACGCCGCGUGAAUGAAGAAGGUUUUCGGAUCGUAAAACUCUGUUGUUAGGGAAGCGUUAUCUAACCAGAAAGCCACGGCUAACUACGUGCCAGCAGCCGCGGUAAUAC
rnacentral:rRNA from 1 species